UACGUAGGUGGCAAGCGUUGUCCGGAAUUAUUGGGCGUAAAGCGCGCGCAGGCGGCCUUUUUAAGUCUGAUGUGAAAGCCCACGGCUCAACCGUGGAAGGUCAUUGGAAACUGAAAGGCUUGAGUACAGAAGAGGAAAGCGGAAUUCCACGUGUAGCGGUGAAAUGCGUAGAUAAUCAGGAGGAACACCGGUGGUGUAGACGGCUUUCUGGACCGUAACUGACGCUGAGACACGAAAAGCGUGGGUAGCAAACAGG
rnacentral:rRNA from 1 species